rnacentral:lncRNA from 1 species
UCUUUUACGGUUGCGAAGGAGUUGUGGACACAAGGAAAACAGUGUUUGGGGAGAUAACUCCUACAAAGAAAAGUAUUCGGUUACGCAGUGUAAAUUUCAAAAGCGCAUAAACUGUUCGAUAUCAUAUACCAAAUAUCUAAGCGACAUAUUGCGAAACAAAUGUUUAUCGUAAGAACAAAAUUUGGCGGAAGAAAAAAAAUAAUCAGAAGAAAAACAAUAGGUCUUUCCACAGAAAAGUGGAAAGACCUAAUUAAUUGUU